AGCCACGGCUAACUACGUGCCAGCAGCCGCGGUAAUACGUAGGUGGCAAGCGUUGUCCGGAUAUUGGGCGUAAAGCGCGCGCAAGGCGGUUUUCUUAAGUCUGAUGUGCCCAGCCCCCGGCUCAACCGGGGAGGGUCAUUGGAAACUGGGGAACUUGAGUGCAGAAGAGGAGAGUGGAAUUCCACGUGUAGCGGUGAAAUGCGUAGAGAUGUGGAGGAACACCAGUGGCGAAGGCGACUCUCUGGUCUGUAACUGACGCUGAGGCGCGAAAGCGUGGGGAGCGAACAGGAUUAGAUACCCUGGUAGUCCACGCCGUAAACGAUGAGUGCUAAGUGUUAGAGGGUUUCCGCCCUUUAGUGCUGCAGCAAACGCAUUAAGCACUCCGCCUGGGGAGUACGGUCGCAAGACUGAAACUCAAAGGAAUUGACGGGGGCCCGCACAAGCGGUGGAGCAUGUGGUUUAAUUCGAAGCAACGCGAAGAACCUUACCAGGUCUUGACAUCCUCUGACAACCCUAGAGAUAGGGCUUCCCCUUCGGGGGCAGAGUGACAGGUGGUGCAUGGUUGUCGUCAGCUCGUGUCGUGAGAUGUUGGGUUAAGUCCCGCAACGAGCGCAACCCUUGAUCUUAGUUGCCAGCAUUCAGUUGGGCACUCUAAGGUGACUGCCGGUGACAAACCGGAGGAAGGUGGGGAUGACGUCAAAUCAUCAUGCCCCUUAUGACCUGGGCUACACACGUGCUACAAUGGGCAGAACAAAGGGCAGCGAAGCCGCGAGGCUAAGCCAAUCCCACAAAUCUGUUCUCAGUUCGGAUCGCAGUCUGCAACUCGACUGCGUGAAGCUGGAAUCGCUAGUAAUCGCGGA
rnacentral:rRNA from 1 species